rnacentral:lncRNA from 1 species
UUACGGUUAGGCCACGCCCCCUACGUGAUGAGGGUGCGUGGGUGGGAUGGGCCCUCCCCCCUCCCCUCCCCUCCCCGGUAAAUACCCCAGGGGUAGACCAGACGUACCUACUACCUCCGUUCGAGAGCCACAAUCCAAUCAGUCAUCGAGGCCCCCAGAGCGCAUGCGCACACCCGCGCCAGCGCCACCACCUGGCUCCGCGUGACGUAAAUGAAAGAAAAUCUCCCGACACAAGUGGAUUAGUGGGAGUUGGGAGGGGACGGGCAUCAGGUCGGUCCCGCGCGCGCUUCUGCCUGCUUCCAGCCGCGUGGACGGUGAAGGUGAGACAGGUCCGCCGCUGCUGUCAGAACUUCAGAAGAAGAAGAAGAAGAAGAAGAAGAGGAAGAGGAGGAGGAAGAGGAGGAGGACAUGGACAGAAGGAAGCCCCAAAGAAAGUGAAGCUUCCCCGCCAGGAGCCGCAGGAUGGGGAUGGACCUCAGCGCCCUGCGGAGCCUCAUCAGCCGCAUCAACCGAUACUGUGCUGGUGAGGAGAACUAUGUGGACAGCCGGACGGUCUACAUCGGACACAAGGAGCCUCCCCCCGGAGCCGAUGCCUUCAUUCAGCAGAGAUUUCCCGACAACAGAAUAGUUUCCUGCAAGUACACGUUUUGGAACUUCAUCCCCAAGAACAUGUUCGAGCAGUUCCGGCGAGUCGCCAACUUUUACUUCCUCAUCAUUUUCCUGGUUCAGUUGAUUAUCGACACACCCACAAGUCCGGUCACGAGCGGUCUGCCUCUGUUCUUUGUCAUCACAGUCACAGCCAUUAAACAGGGGUACGAGGACUGGCUGAGGCACAAAGCGGACAAAGCUGUCAACCAGUGUCUGGUCACCGUGGUCCAGCGCGGGAAGAAGAUCAGCAAAGAGAGCUGCAGACUCACGGUUGGAGAUGUGGUCUAUGUGAAGGAAGACGAGACUUUUCCGUGCGACCUCAUCCUCCUCUCUUCAUCUCGAGAUGAUGGAACGUGCUACGUUACCACAGCCAGCUUGGAUGGAGAGAGCAGCCACAAGACCUAUUACGCCGUCCAGGACACCAAAGCCUUCACCACCGAGGAGGAGGUGGACUCCAUCCACGCCACCAUCGAAUGUGAACAACCGCAGCCGGACCUGUACAAAUUUGUCGGCCGCAUCAACAUCUAUACGGACAACGAGUCGGUUGCUAGGCCGCUGGGGUCGGAGAACGUCCUGCUCCGAGGAGCCACGCUCAAAAAUACCAAGUACAUCUAUGCUGUUGCCAUCUACACGGGAAUGGAAACCAAGAUGGCUCUCAACUACCAGUCCAAGUCCCAAAAACGAUCCGCCGUGGAAAAGUCCAUGAACUCCUACCUGGUGGUGUACCUGUGCAUCCUCAUCAGCAAAGCGCUCAUCAACACGGUGCUGAAGUACAUCUGGCAGGCUGACCCCAACAGAGACGAGCCCUGGUACAACGACAGGACGGAGACGGAGAGGCAAAGACACAUCGUGAGGGCCUUCACCGACUUCCUGGCCUUCAUGGUCCUGUUCAACUACAUCAUUCCCGUCUCCAUGUACGUCACGGUGGAGAUGCAGAAGUUCCUGGGCUCCUACUUCAUCAUGUGGGACGACGACAUGCACGAGGAGGAGCUGGGCGAGAGGGCCGUGGUCAACACGUCUGACCUGAACGAGGAGCUGGGGCAGGUGGAGUACGUCUUUACGGACAAGACGGGGACUCUGACGGAGAACAACAUGGAGUUCAUAGAGUGCUGCGUGGACGGACAGAUCUACGACGCUGACGCCAUCUGUAACGGACAGGAGCUGUUUUUCCGGGCCUUGUGUUUGUGCCACACGGUGCAGGUGAAGGAGGAGGAGACGGUGGACGGGAUCAAACAUGGCAUCCACCAGGGAAAGCCCUCCUCCUUCUACAUCUCCUCGUCGCCGGAUGAAGUCGCUCUAGUGGAGGGCAUGAAGAAGCUUGGUUAUACCUAUCUGAGGCUCAAAGACGGUCACAUGGAGAUCUUAAAUAAGGAGGACGAGAUUGAGAGGUUUGAACUUCUGGAGGUUUUGUCGUUCGACUCGGUCCGGAGGAGGAUGAGCGUCAUCGUCAGAGCCUGCUCCGGUGACAUCUACCUGUUCUGCAAGGGCGCCGACUCCUCCAUCCUCCCCAGAGUGGUCUCAGGAAAGGUGGCUGAGGUGAAAGCUCGAGUGGAACACAACGCCGUGGAUGGCCUGAGGACUCUGUGUGUGGCCUAUCGGCCGCUGGCAGCCAGCAGAAAUACGGCACAUUUUAUUAGAAUAAAAAGUGAUUUAAAACGUGUUUUAUCUUGGUUUUUCAGGCUGCAGGACAAAGCGGCAGAUACCAUCGAGUCUCUCCACAAAGCGGGAAUGAAGGUGUGGGUUUUGACCGGAGACAAGAUGGAGACGGCGGCCGCCACCUGCUACGCCAGCAAGCUGUUCCGCCGCGGCACCCACAUCCUGGAGCUGACCACCAAACGGGUGGAGGAGCAGAACCUCCACGAUGUCCUGUUUGAACUGAGCAGGACGGUCCUCCGGCCCCCUGGGAGCAUGACUUUGUCGACUGACUGCACCGACUACGGGCUGAUCAUCGAUGGAGCCACCCUCUCUGCAGUCAUGAGUUACAAAGAGAUCUUUCUGGAAAUCUGUCGUAACUGCAGCGCCGUGCUCUGCUGUCGAAUGGCGCCGCUGCAGAAAGCUCAGAUUGUGAAAAUGAUUAAAACUUCCAAAGAGCAUCCGAUCACGCUGGCCAUCGGAGACGGCGCCAAUGAUGUCAGCAUGAUCCUGGAGGCCCACGUCGGCAUCGGCAUCAUGGGUAAAGAGGGGCGUCAGGCUGUGAGGAACAGCGACUACGCCAUCCCCAAGUUUAAGCACCUGAAGAAGAUGCUGCUCGUCCACGGACAUUAUUACUACAUCCGCAUCUCGGAGCUGGUUCAGUACUUCUUCUACAAGAAUGUUUGCUUCAUCUUCCCACAGUUCCUCUACCAGUUCUUCUGCGGCUUCUCCCAGCAGCCGCUGUACGACACCGCCUACCUGACGCUCUACAACAUCAGCUUCACGUCGCUGCCCAUCCUGGUGUACAGCCUGAUGGAGCAGCACAUCAACAUGGACAUCCUGAAGAAGGACCCCUCCCUCUAUAAAGAUAUUGCCAAGAACUCGUUGCUGAGAUGGCCCACCUUCAUAUACUGGACCGUUCUGGGGGUCUACGACGCCAUCGUCAUGUUUUUCGGCGCCUACUUCCUGUUCGAUAACACCACCUUCACCAGCAACGGACAGAUGUUUGGGAACUGGACGUUUGGGACGCUGGUCUUCACCGUGCUGGUCUUCACCGUCACCUUCAAGCUGGUCCUGGACACGCAUUACUGGACGUGGAUCAACCACUUCGUCAUCUGGGGGUCGCUGGUGUUCUUCGUGCUCUUCUCUCUGCUGUGGGGUGGAAUCAUCUGGCCGUUCCUCAACUACCAGAGGAUGUAUUACGUCUUCAUGCAGAUGCUGUCCAGCGGCCCGGCCUGGCUCAGCAUCAUCCUCCUCAUCACCGCCGGCCUGCUGCCAGACGUGGUGAAGAAGGUCAUCUGGAGGGCCAUAAACGAAGGAAAUCAAAAAUGUAGAAGAAGAUACGACUUCAGAAAAAACGACAAUUAA